rnacentral:rRNA from 1 species
CCUACGGGAGGCUGCAGUAAGGAAUAUUGGUCAAUGGGCGGAAGCCUGAACCAGCCAUGCCGCGUGCAGGAAGACGGCCUACGGGUUGUAAACUGCUUUUGCAGGGGAAUAUGUACCUUGAGAAUAAGGAUCGGCUAACUCCGUGCCAGCAGCCGCGGUAAUACGGAGGAUCCGAGCGUUAUCCGGAUUUAUUGGGUUUAAAGGGUGCGUAGGCGGCCCGGUAAGUCAGGGGUGAAAUACGGUAGCUUAACUAUCGCAGUGCCUUUGAUACUGCCGGGCUUGAAUGUACUUGAGGUAGGCGGAAUGUGACAAGUAGCGGUGAAAUGCAUAGAUAUGUCACAGAACACCAAUUGCGAAGGCAGCUUACUAAGUUGAUUGACGCUGAGGCACGAAAGCGUGGGGAUCAAACAGGAUUAGAUACCCUUGUAGUC